AUGACAGGACCAAUCGCCACUCAGCAAUGAGAAGCAGCUAACUGUUGACAUGCCAACAGCUUGCACAGGCCUCAAGGGUGUCACAUGGCAUGAAAGACACUCAUGUCAGGCCACACAGGAUUCCAUUCAUUGAACAUUCCUGAGACAAUGGAAUUCUGGCGAUGGAGCACAGAUAGGGUUUCUCUCUCUGCCACCCAGGCCAGAGUGCAGUUGAUGCAGGGCAGGGGAGCCCCGAAGUGGAGCAUAGUGUGUCCGGAACUGGUGGGUUCUUGGUCUCACUGACUUCAAGAAUGAAGCCGCGGACCCUCGCGGUGAGCGUCACAGUUCUUAAAGGCGGCGUGUCCAGAGUUUUUUCCUUCUGAUGCUCGGAUGUGUUCAGAGUUUCUUCCUUCUGGUGGGUUUGUGGUCUCGCUGGCUUCAGGAGUGAAGCUGCAGACCUUCAAGGUGAGUGUUACAGCUCUUAAGGUGGUGCGUCUGGAGUUGUUUGUUCCUCCCAGUGGGUUCAUAGUCUCGCUGGCUUCAGGAGUGAAGCUGCAGACCUUCGAGGUGAGUGUUACAGCUCAUAAAGGCAGUGUGGGCCCAAAGAGUGAGCAGCAGCAAGAUUUAUUGCAAAGAGCAAAAGAACAAAGCUUCCACAGUGUGGAAACGGACCCCAGUGGGUUGCCACUGCUGGCUGGGGCAGGCUGCUUUUACUCCCUUAUCUGGCCCCACCCACAUCCUGCUGAUUUGUCCAUUUUACAGAGAGCCGAUUGGUCUGUUUUACAGAGAGCUGAUUGGUCUGUUUUGACAGAGUGCUGAUUGGUGCGUUUACAAUCCCUGAGCUAGACACAAAAGUUCUCCAAGUCCCUACUAGAUUAGCUAGAUACAGAGUGUCGAUUGGUGCAUUCACAAACCCAGAGCUAGACACAGGGUGCUGAUUGGUGUGUUUACAAACCUUGAGCUAGAUACAGAGUGCCAAUUGGUGUAUUUACAAUCCCUUAGCUAGACAUAAAGGUUCUCAAAGUCCCCACCAGACUCAGGAGCCCAGCUGGCUUCGCCAAGUGGAUCCCACAGGGGGGCUGCAGGUGGAGCUGCCUGCCAGUCCUGUGCCCUGUGCUGGCACUCCUCAGCCCUUGGGUGGUCGAUGGGUCUGGGUGCCCUGGAGCAGGGGGCGGUGCUCAUCGGGGAGGCUCAGGUCGCGCAGGAGCCCACUGCGGGUUGGAGGGAGGCUCAGGCAUGGCAGGCUGCAUGUCCUGAGCCCUGCCCUGCAGGGAAGCAGCUAAGGCCCAGUGAGAAAUUGAGCAAAGCAGCUGCUGGCCCAGGUGCUAAGCCCCUCACUGCCCGGGUCCAGCGGGGCCGGCAGGCCACUCCGAGUGCGGGGCCCAGUGAGCCCAUGCCCACCUGGAACUCGCACUGGCCCGGAAGCGCCAUGCGCAGCCCCUGUUCCUGCCUGUUCCUCUCCCUCUACACCUCCCCGCAAGCUGAGGGAGCCGGCUCCAACCUCGGCCAGCCCAGGAAGGGGCUCCCACAGUGCAGCGGUGGGCUGAAGGGCUCCUCAAGUGCCACCAAAGUGGGAGCCCAGGCAGAGGAGGCGCCGAGAGUGAACUCGAGGGCUGCUAGCAUGCUGUCACCUCUCAAUAGCACGUGAGGGUUCUUGUCUUUACCCAGGAAAGAAUUCAAGGGCAAGCUGGAGGUUUAGAAGAAAACAGCUUUAUUGAAGAGGCAGCGUUACAGCCCUGUGACUGCUCCUGUAGGGCAGGGUUACCCUGGAGGCAGAGAGUAGCGGCAGAGAGUCUGCAAUCACAUUUAUACUCACUUUUAAUUGCAUGCAGAUUAAAGGGCAGUUUAUGCAGGAAUUUCUAGAAAAUGGGUAGUAACUUUUGAGUCAUUGGGUCAUUGCCAUGGAAAGGGGCAGUAACUCCCUGGUGUUGCCUUGGCAAUAGUAAACUCACAUGGCACACUGGUGGGCAUGUCUGAUGGAAAGCUGCUUCUGCCCCAGCCCUGUUUUAGCUAGUCCUCAAUUAGGUCUGGUGUCCAAGCCCUGCCUGUGGAGUCAAGUCCUGCCUCCUAUCUCACAGUGGCGUGAUCAUGGCUCACUGCAGACUCAACACCCCCGGGCUCAAGCAGUUCUCCCACCUCAGCCUCCUGAGUUGCUAGGACCACAGACACAUGCCACUAUGCCCAGCUACAUUUUUUGCAUUUUUUGUAGAGAUGGUGUUUCACCAUGUUGCCUAGGCUUGUCUCAAACUCCUAGGCUCAAGCAAUAUACCUACCUUAGCCUUCUAAAGUGCUGGGAUUACAGGUGUGAGUCACUGCACCUAGCCCAACCUUACAUUUUUAAUCUCAAGUCACUUCUCUCUAGGUUUUGAUUUCUUCUUUAAAAUGGCGGAACGAAGAGCAUCUAUUUUAUAGGGUUGUUGGGAAGACAAAAAUGAAAGAACUGCUAUUCAAUGUUUAGUGAAGCGCUGUGCAUAAUUUUGAAUAAUGAAGUUGGUGUUUAUUUUUUAUUAUUUGUUCAUUUAUUUUUUAGAGACGGGGUCUUGCUCUGUUGCUCAAGCUGGAGUGCAGUAGUGCAAUCACAGCUUAGUGCAGCCUUGACCUCCUGGGCUCAAGAAAUCCUGCCACCUCAGCCUCUUGAGUAGCUGGGACUACAGGCAUGCCUCGCCAUGUCUGGCUAUUUAUUUACUUGUUUGUUUUUUGUAGAGAUGGCGUCUCCCUAUGUUGCCCGGGCUGGUCUUGAACUCCUGGCCUUAAGCAAUGCUCCUGUCUUGGCCUCCCAAAACACUGAGAUUACAGGUGUGAACCACCAUGGCCAGCCUUAUUUUUAUUUUUAAAUCAGCCUUGUCAAGUUGAAUUGGUCAUUAAUCUUGUAUAAUGGUAAUUUGGGGCAGCAUUGGUUGGGCGGGGGUUGGGGAACAUUUAGGACCCUGUGGGCUACAACUCGUAGUGUGUGCACUUAUUUUAUUUUAUUUUGUUUUGUUAUAUUAUAUUAUAUUAUAUUAUAUUAUAUUAUAUUAUAUAUAUUUUUUGAGACAGGGGUCUCACUCUGUUGCCCAGACUGGAGUGCAGUAGCAUGAUCUUGGCUCACUGCAACCUCUGCCUCCCAGCUUCAAGCGAUUCUCCUGCCUCAGCCUCCAGAGUAGCUGUAACUACAGAUGUGCGCCACCACGCCCGGCUAAUUUUUGUAUUUUUAGUAGAGCUCGGGUUUCACCAUGUUGGCCAGGCUGGUCUCAAACUCCUGACCUCAGGUGAUACACCUGCCUCAGCCUCCCAAAGUGCUGGGAUUUUAGGCGUGAGCCACCGUGCCUGGCUGUGCACUUAUGUUUGAUUUUUGCAGAACCACCCUUCCCUAAUGGUUGUCUCCUAGAUCCAAGGUGACUUUAUUCAUUUUAGAAUGAACUUACCCCAUUGAUACUGUAACCAGAGUUGGCAUACAUCACGAUUGGCAGAACCCGGUCAUGUUUAGCGAGAUGGAAGUGUUCUGGAAACUCCUCCUUCUUGUAGACGUGGAGGUGAGGGUACGCAUUUUUCAGUGCCUGGUAAAGGGUUUCCUCUUGCCCCAAUUUGGGCAGGGGCAUCCCAAAGCCACCGUAGCCCACAAUAUCAAACUUGACCAAGUUCCUGAACUUGAUGUAGUUGGACAAGGGAUCUUGUUGACAUUGGGUCUCUUCUUCACGGUGGUCACCCCAUGGUCUCAUGUGAUGAUGACGCUGAGGUGCUCUGCAGGCUGUGCUUCUCAAUGGCUCCCACCAGAUACCCGAUGGCCCUGUCGAGUUGCUGAAUCAUCAACUUCCUGUUCUCUGCCUCUGGCCCGAAUCGAUGUCCCACGUUAUCUGGCUCUCUGUAGCACAGAGUCACAAAGUCAAAGUCUUCCUUGGUGUACCAGUUCAUGACGGUAUCGAUGUUCUCCCUCCGCUCUGUCUCGCUGCUGUUUGGGUGACUGUAGGACUCCACCAGGGACGGCUUGACAGCCUCACCCUCGUAUUUAGCACCUCCCCUGGAAUAGUGGAAUGAUGCCGCUUUGUUCCCCUGCAAGUACAAGAAGAAAAUUCCAUCAGGGCCAUUUCUCAUACCUUUCUCACAAUCAGCAAAGCUCGAGUUGUCUACAUCUGUGCCCCAGUCCAAAGGCAUAGAAAAUAUGUGGUCUUUGAAGUCAGACAGGGUGGAGUUAGAUUCUGGGCUUCCCCAGGAUCUCAUAGCAUCUACAACACUGUUAGUUACAAGAUGUGCUAUUAUUUUAUGGGCUACUAAGCAGAAAAAUGCUGCCAGUGAGACCGUGACAUUCCAGUGAUUGUAAGGUGUAUUCCAACUUCAGAGAUGGCAAAAUGAAAAAUAAUUCCUUAGAAUAGAGGGAGACAGUAAUUUCUGAGUUGGUGGUGGUGAAUUUGUGCAUGUGUGUUUUUUAUAUAUAUACACACACAUAUAUACACAUAUACAUGUAUAUAUGUGUAUAUAUAUACAGACAUAUAUAUAUAUAUAUAUAUAUAUAUGUAUAUAUAGUGGUGCAGUGGUACAAUCAUAGCUCAUUGCACCCUUGAACUCCUGGGCUUAAGUGAUCCUGCCAUCUCAGCCUCUUGAGUAGCUGGGGCCACAGGCAUGUGCCACCAUACCUUUUUUUUUUUUUUUGAGACACGGUCUCACUCUGUCACCUAGGUUGGAGUGCCAUGGCACAAUCUCAGCUCACUGCAACCUCUGACUCCUGGGUUCAAGCAAUUCUCGUGCCUCAGCCUCCCAAGUAGCUGGGAUUAUAGACAUGUGCCACUAUGCCCAGCUAAGUUUUGUAUUUUUAGUUGAGAUAGAGUCUUGUCGUGUUGGCCAGGCUGGUUUCGAAUCCCUGGGCUGAAGUGAUCCACUUGCCUUGGCCUCCCAAAGUGCUGGGAUUACAUGUGUGAGCCACCGUGCCUAGCUCUAAUUUUUUUAAAAAAAUAUUUGUAGGCAUGAGGUCUCACUAAUUUGCCCAGUCUGGUCCUGAACUCCUGGGUUCAAGUAAUUCUCCUGCCUCAGCCUCUCAAAGUGCUGGGAUUACAGGCAUGAGACACCGUGCCUGGCUGGUGGUGAGUUUUAAAAUCUCCCAGUGUCUCAGUGUUUCUACCUGUAGAAUGCCAAAGAGUAGAUGGCAUCUUUGUGAGGAUUAAGCAGGCUAGCUUUUUAUUUUUUUAUUUUUACUUUUAUUUUUGAGACAGAAUUUCUCUCUUGUCACCCAGGCUGGAGUGCAAUGUCGUGAUGUUGGCUCACUGCAACCUCCGCCUCCUGGAUUCAAGUGGUUCUCCUGCCUCAGCCUCCCAAGUAGCUGGGAUUACAAAGCCAGUUAGCUUUAAGAUACAGUGUUGGGCAUCACAUUUUGGCACGGAGCAGGCACUCUUUUCUUUGCCUCCAGGUGGGACUAAGCCACCACAAGCCUUCCCUGGUGUGUGCAGUGGGUGAUGAAUGCUUGCCUGCUCAGCACCCACUUCCUGGUGGGCUUGGUCACAUUACUCUGACUCCCCCUUGAGCUUCAGUCCGUGCCUGGUUCAAGAUGUAUUGACUCAACCCGAGGAUCCAGAGGUGGGAUGUAGCUCUGGCCUGGCCAGAGGACCGAGGAUGCUGCAUGCCAUGACUACAGCAACUGGUUCAGCUUUGGGCUCAUGUCCUAGUCAGAGCCAAUGAGAUGUAAUCUUGGGAUAUCUGCUGGGCUGUUGGGAAGGGGACAGGCUGCCCUGCUCAUCCCCAUUCCUGAUGCUGAGGGAUCUGAGAAAAUCACUUGUAAAAUUUGGGGGUGUUUGGAAGAAGGGGAGACUGAUGUCUCUUUCUCUCUACAGACAUCUGAUCAGCUACAGAGCUUGAGUAACCUACCCAGAGGCAGAAUGAUAUGGUGGUUAAAAGUGUGCUCUGGGCCGAGAUUUUGCCACUGUACUCCAGCCUGGGUGACAGAGUGAGACUCCAUCUCAAAAAAAAAAAAAAAAAAAAAGGGUGCUUUGGGCUGAGUGCGGAGGCUUAUGACUGUAAUCCCAGCACUUUGGGAGGCUGAGGCAGGAGGAUCGCUUGAAGUCAGGAGUUUGGGAUCAGACCCCAUAUCUAGAAAAAUGUUUUUUAAAAAUUAGCUGUGUUGGUGUGAAUGCCUCUAGUCCCAGCUACUCUGGAGGCUGAGGCGGGAAGAUUGCUGGAGCUUGGGAGUUCAAGGCUGCAGUGAGCUAUGAUCAGGCCACUGCACUCCAGUUUGAGGGACAGAGAGAGACCCCAUCUCUCUGAACAACAAAAAUGUGUGCUCUGGUGCCGCACUGCCUGGUUAGAUCCUUUGUCCACCACUUAGAUGCAUGUUAUAUAAAUGCUCUCCUCAGUUUCCUCAUCUGUAACUUGGGGAUGGUAAUGCUGCCCCAAGAAGUGGUUAUGGGGACUAAAUGCAUGUGGGCAUAUUGGUAAGUAUUCAACAAGCUUGAUUUUUCCUGGAGAGGGAGAAAGAGCUUGCAGUGGGGUGGCAUGGUCAGGGGCAUUGGGACAAGGAUUAUUUCCUCUGGCUUCUGCCUCCUAGGAGGUACUAAGGAGGGAUCUGAAAUGUGUCUGCAGGCCCCAGAGUUGGGGACUGCAGAGGGAAAUUGAGAUCAGGGACCCUAGUCUGGCAGAAAUGAGUGCAGUAUGGGGCAUUGGGUUCCUUUCAUCAGAGGCAUGGGGUGUGUUGCAGACAGUCAUGAAAUGUGGCUGAAUCUUGCAAGGGACCCUCGGUCCUAGGGUUGCUGCUUGAGACAAAGACCCCUGUCAGUGGAACCUGGUGACCUUCACCCUUCUGUGUCAGGCUGCAGACAGCAAGAGAUGGCAGCAGAUUACACCCAACAGGAAAAGGGCCAUUGCCAUCCCACAGGUUGCCAUAGGAGGAGAUGACAUCUCUCCCUCUCCUCCUCCAGCAGUGUCAGCUGGGAAGAGGUGGGUGGGUUUGCACAAAAGAGUAGACCACAGACCAUGCUCCUUCUCCUCCAGUCUGCUGGGGCCCCAAGAGAGUCUGCAGCCCUUGGCCAGGGACCGGCUGACACAGGAGAACAAAAGACCUUAGGCUGGGAUAAUAUGGUAGUGCAGUUCAUCCUCUGGAGCUCCCUGUGAGAUCAGACUGGAGCUGGUGUCCAGCUGAGACCAUAUCUCACUCAGCUCCUUCCCUGCCAUAUCCUGUUUUCCUUGCUCCUAUCUCCUGAGAGUUCUUCCUGAAUGAAUUACAUGCACUCAAUCCCUGCCUCAGGCUCUGCUUUUAGGGAACUUGACCUAAGACAGAAAUCUUAGUACUAAAUACUUUGCAAGGCCUCAGAAGCUCUGCUAUCCACAAGCAAGUGAGAUAUUACCUUCCCUACCACCUGGCAGUCAUAGUCUUUGAUGCGAAUCAGCUUUAUGGAAGUGCUUCUCUAAAGAACUUCCCCAAAUUUAAGAUGAUCUUAAUUUGCUUACUUGUUUAUUGUCCAUUUAGCUGCUCUAAAAUGUGAGCUCCAAAUCAGGGGCCAUGUCUGGUUGGUUACCCAUUUCCUGGGACCUAGAACAGGCCUAGCUCAGAGCAGGUGCUCACUAUUGAUGGAAUGCAUGUUCAAAGAAUGCAUGAAUCUCCUUUUGUGGGUGAAAAACUCAUCCUAUUCUCAUCCUGACUAACUUUCUUUCUUUCUUUCUUUUUUUUCAAAUUGGAGUCGUGAUCUGUUACCCAGGCUGGGGUGCAAUGGUGUGAUCUCAGCUAGCUGCAACCUCUGCCUUCUGGAUUAAAGCAAUUCUCCUGCCUCAGCCUCUUAUGUAGCUGGUAUUACAGGUGUAUACCACCACGCCCGGCUAAUUUUUUGUAUUUUUAAUAGAGACAGGGUUUCACCAUGUUGGCCAGGCUGGUCUCGAACUCCUGACCUCGUGAUCCACCCGCUUUGGCCUCCCAGAGUCCUGGGAUUACAGGCAUGAGCCACCGUACCCAGCCACUCUUGAUUAACUUAAUGGAAAUAUUUACAGAGAUUCUUUCUCUUCUGGGUUCUAGUGUCUUAUCUGUAACCUCUGCAGGUAAUACAUUUUCCUUCCUGAUGAUAGCAUUUCUAUGGUUGCUUUCACUUGCAAAUCCUCUAAUACUUAUUUAUUCCAUUUCUGAUUGGCAUUAGACAUAAUUCUCAAUUUUUAGUGACAGCACUUCGUUUAACUUACAUGUAAAUCGACUUUGCCUUGAAAUGUGACAUUGACUAGAAGGAUGAAACUUCUAACAUGCUGUAGAACAUAGUUUGACUGGCUAAUUUAUUAUUUAGAAGAAACUAAUAUUGCCAUUAUGAGAGACUUAGGUGGCUCUGAAGAACCAGUUGUAUUUCUAAUGUUUGCAAUGUUAAAUCACAGAUAUUGCCAACGUGAAAUAGUUUCCAUAUGCUGUGUUCUCAAUACACAACUUUUCCAAAGAUAUCCCAAGCUGUAGUCUUAGGAAACUGUGAUUUUUCUUAUUUGGUCUCAUGGGAAUUUGGGGAGCUAUGUGGGAUCUCCAUAAAAUGAGCUCUAGAAAGACACAUGUGUGUACAUGCACACACACACACACACACUCACACAUGUACCACACCACACUUGACUCUGUUUAUUUGGGACCCAUGAUUAUCAAAAGUGCUAUUUUCAACAAAUACUUCUGAGAAAUAAUCUGAAGACUUAAUUGGAUGCAAAAGAGUGGCUAUUUACUAUUCUACCCUUUAGUUAGCAUAAUCAGUGUUUCCAGCAGCAAAAGCAAUUGGAAAAUUGCUAGUUUUAUUAGGUUCAUUAUUAUCCCUUAGCGUAGUGUGACAUCAGCAUGGCUAUUAUUCUUAAAUUGCCUCCUUAAAACAAGAGCUGGUACUUCUUACAGGCAAUUCCUAACUCUUGGGUUUUGUAGAGGGUCCAAAACUCUUUAGAACCUAUAAUUCAAGGAAAGGCUUCACUUUGGUUUUACAUUUUGUCUGGUCUCUUUGGCUGACAGAAUUUAUCUCACAAGGUGCACAUGUUUGGGGGAGGCUCAUGGACAGUCCAUUGCACUUGUGCUUUGGUAGGAAGUACGUGCCGCUAAGGGGAAGGAGUUAGUUACUGAUUCUAGGGAACAACUGGGUAGAAAGAGAUGGACUCCCUGUGUUUGAAAUUCAGAACUCAAGCUUGGCUCUAAGUGUUUCCUUGCUUUGCUGUGCUCCAGGGGAGACACUGAGCAGAAGGAAGCGAGUUGCCUGAGAUUCCUCAAAGCCCGCAGCCCUUUUGGAGGUUACAUUGUUAUUCUCAGAGCCUUUAUGAUGCAUAAUAAAGACCCAGCUUGGACCAAUAUUAGGAUAAGUUAUCUUGCUAUUAACAUUCUUUUAGGUAGAAGUUGCUGGUCCCAUCUUGCUCACAAUCCUCCAAAGUUUGAAAGUGAUUUUCCAGAAGACUUGGCUUGCACUGAGAGCUGCCCUCCCACCCUCUCUCCAAAUUUCCUCUUGGGGGUAGCCUAACAAGGUGCUGUCACAGACCCUUGCCAGCCACGAUGACCCCACCCAGACCAUCCCUCUGUUGUUUCACUCUUUGAUACUCUCUGGAGCUCUCUGGGGAGGGGUGAGACCUGCCGUCUGGUUUAUAUGCUUUGCCCAGGUCUUACAGUCAUGGCUGGCUGCCUCUCUCUGAGAACUGGGACUCCUGAACUUGGUGAAAUACCUCAGCCAUCGAUCAUGUUGAAUUAUCGGGGACACUCAUUUAAAAUCCGAGCCUGUUCCAGAUAGACUCUCUCUCUUUCUGUCCUGACCGUGAGAGAAGCCCUGCUGGACGGUGGAGACACUCGUGGGCUGUAAGCAAGGGAUGCAAAGGCUGCCGGGAAUCCCAUCUUUCCAGCAUCAUCUGCCAAGGCACAUCAGUUCCUGGGUGUCUUGAUGGAUUCUGGCAGCAUUACUGUCAUUGAAGGAAAACAUUUUAGCCAUAUUAAAGGUGAAUGCAGCAAUCUCCACACAGGCUGCCUGGAAGGGAUGCAGGACAAGGGUAGGUUUUCCUUGUGAUGGACAGGAGGCAGGCGGCCCUCCCACAGCCCUGCCUGGCAAUGCAGAUAUGUCCCCAUAAGGCACUGGGGGCCAGCUGGAGUGCUGUACCGAGGCGGGCUGACCCGGGCCGUGGGUUCGCUCUGAUUGCAGCGGUUUCCCGCCAGCUCCUUGGAGAGCUGGCAGAUGACCCAGCCCCACAGCAGGAGCCGCGAAUGGCAGAACGAGAUACAACAAUUUGAUAUCCACUUGCCAGACGAGCCUGGCUCUGUGCCCAACCUCUUUUUGCAUAAACACUUAUGAAUUCAGCCAAGAGGAAAAGCACUCUGAUUAAGAAUUGAGCAGAAGGAAACAAAGUUCUGCAGAUAAACACCAAUGAGACAAAAAACCACGAAUAAGAAAAAUGGCAGAAAAGGAGAACCUUCCCAGAAGCCUCCUGCCAGUGAACGGCCACCAGAGUGAGAGCAUGGAGAGGCCCUGGGUUUUGAACUGUGAGAUAAGGAAGAUGAUGAAAACCUCCCUAGCAGCCAGGCAAGCACAAGAUUCCUGUGAAAUCCAGGUCUAAGUGUUUUGACCACAGAAGUAAUAUUAUGUCAUAGGUGAGAGCUGUGAGUUGCUGAACCCAAAGUGAGUUCAAAUCCGAGUUCUGCCUCCUGAAACCUGUGUGACUUUGAGAAGUUCCAGCACCACUUUGUGCCUCAGUUUUCUCAUCUGUUAAACGGGCAUAACCACAGCUCCUGCCUCAGAGUUGUAAAUUAAUACAUGUAAAGCACUGAAAUCAGCCUGGUAUACAGUAAGUGUUAUGAACGUUAUUUUCUUGGAAGGACAGAACUUAUUUUCAUGGUCUAAGCCUGAAAAUCUAAAAAAUGUGAGAGAAGAGGAAAGAAUCUAGAGUGUCACCAUGAGGGGGAAAAGUCAACUUGAAGCAGGACAGGGUCAUUGACUAUUUCCUGUGAUUCUACAGCUGCCUUGUACACUAUGGUAGCUCCUAGCCACUUGUUGUUUAGAUUUCGUGAUUUAGAAAUGAAUUAAGGCCAGGCGUGGUGGCUCAUGCCUGUAAUCCCAGCACUUUGGGAGGCCAAGGUGGGCAGAUCACCUGAGGUCAGGAGUUCAAGAUCAGCCUGGCCAACAUGGUGAAAUCCUGUCUCUACAAAAAUACAAAAAUUAGCCGGGCAUGAAGGCACGUUCCUGUAAUCCCAGGUACUCAGGAGGCUGAGGAAGGAGAAUUGCUUGAACCUGGGAGAUGGAGGUUGCAGUGAGAUGAGAUUGUGCCACUGCACUCCAGCCUGGGGAAUAGAGUGAGACUCUGUCUCAAAAAAAAAAAAAAAAAGUUAAAAUAAGAGAAAAUUGAAAAUUCAGCUCUUCAUUCUCACCAGCCACAUUUCAAGGGCUCAACGGCCCAUGUGGGUGGCUAGCAGCUCCCAUGUUGGACAGUGCAGAGUAGAGCAAGUCCACCAUUGCAGAAUGUUUGAUUGGACCGUGACUGAAUAGUCUAUUGCAGUGGUCCCCAAUUUUUUUUUAGCACCAGUGAGCAGUUUCCAUGGAUUUUUGGGGGGGAAGUUUUGGGAUGAUUCAAGUGCAUUACAUUUAUUGUGUACUUUAUUUCUAUUGUUAUGAACAUUAUAAUAUAUAAUGAAAUCAUUAUACAACUCACCAUAAUGUAGAAUCAGUGGGAGCCCUGAGCUUGUCUUCCUGCAACUAGAUAAUCCCAUCUCAGGGUGGUGGGAGACAGUGACAGAUCAUCAGGCAUUAGGUUCUCAUAAGGAGCACACAACCUAGAUCCCUUCCCCAUGCAGUUCACAAUAGGGUUGGUGCUCCUAUGAGAAUCUAAUGCCACUGCUGAUCUGACAGGAGACAGAGCUCAGCCAGGGGGAUCAGCUGUAAAUACAGAUGAAGCUUCACUCGCUAGCCUGCUGCUCACCUCCUUCUGUGCAACCCAGUUCCUAACAGGCCACAGACCACUACUGGUCCAUGGUCUGGGGGCUGGGGACCUCUGGUCUAUUGGAUAACACUGGCUUGGAGCAUACUGAUCAGCCAAAGAAGCACUGAGAUGAUUUGGCCUCCAUUAGUAAGAAUGAUGGACUUUUUGGCUUUUUUUGAGACAGAGUUUCACUCUUGUUGCCCAGGCUGGAGUGCAGUGGCACCAUCUCGGCUCACUGCAACCUCUGCCUCCCAGGUUCAAGUGAUUCUCAUGCCUCAGCCUCCCAAGUAGCUGGAAUUACAGGUGCCUGCUACCAUGCCUGGCUAAUUUUUGUAUUUUUAGUAGAAUCGGGGUUUUGCCAUGUUAAGCAGGCUGGUCUUGAAUUCCUGACCUCAAGUGAUCCGCCUGCCUUGGUCUCCCGAAGUGCUGGGAUUACAGGCGUGAGACACUGCACCUGGCCAGAUGGACUUUUUUUGAGCAUUUAGUUCCAAGCACCUUCCCUGCACUUUCUCAGUUAAUCCUCCCAGUGACUCUUUGAAGCAGGGACUAUGACAAUCUUCAUUUCCCAGAUGGAGCAACUCAGGCACAGAGGGCAAGUCAUUGGCCACGGUCGCCCAGCUGAGGAAGGAUGGAGCCGGCUGAGAUCGUGUUCUGGGGAUCUAACUCUGCAGCCUGCAUUCUGGGCUGUUGUGUUCUCCCAUGUUGCUAUCUGAUGAGCACAGCAUGGGCUCAGAGUACAGAGAGGAGGAACCAGGUAAUAAGGAUAGGUCUGGGAGAAGGCUGGUGCCUUGGGGAGGAAGAGAGAGGCCCCAUUCUAAAGGGAUGCCAUUGGAAGCUCAUAGUGAUAAAGCAAAGCCAACAGGUUUUGGGGCUGGGAGUUAAACACACAGCUCUGGUUUCUGCCUUUUCACAGUGGUGAUGAAUGGGCACUGAGACCCUCUCAAGCUAAAGUUGUCAUCACUGAUCUUCAUAGUCUGAAGGUGCAUGAAAUGGUCAACUUUCUUCCAAAGGGCUUUUAUGCCUAAGUCUGUGGUUAGUGUAUAAACAGAUACUUACUGAAGUCCUGCUGGGUGCAGACACUGUGGCCAGCCCUGAGGCUACAUUCGAGAUGAAGCCAGUCUCUGUCCUCAUGGAGACCUGUCUAUUGAUAAGAAAAGAGAAAGCUCACUGAGCAUUGACCCUGUGCCCACUGCUUUUGAUGCAUCUCUCAUUUAAUCCUUCUAUCAAAUCUGUGAAAUAAACACAUCACCAUCAUCCCUAUUUCACAUUUAGGGAAACAUAUGCUUAGAGAGCGUAAGUAACUUGGUCAAGGUCGCACAGCUUCGAACUCUCAUCCCACAGGCGCAGGAAUGAGAGGCAGCAGCCGGGGAAGCCAGGGUCUCUGGAAGUCCUUGUCUCUGGGCGGUGAUCCAGAGAGAGAGAGAACACGAUUGUCUCAGCAAUGGGUCUUCUUCUGCAUCUUGAAGGAGCACUUCCAGAGCCUCUCGGUGUUAAACAUCAUGUUGUGAAUGACUCCGUGAGCUCUGACCCAGUGACCUUGGGGAUAAAGGAGGGGAGUACGGAUAAGCUCUUUGAAUGGAUGUUGCCGGGUUGUCAGUGUUCUUUGAGGGCACAGACUAUGUGUCACCAAAGAAAGAGCCCAGUGCCUUUUCUCAUUGCUCAAGAGAUUGAAGGGGUAGGAAGAAAAGAUGUUAAGUUAUAAACGCAUUUCCGUUUUGGUACCAGUUGAAGCAAUUUACGUUUUGAAGAGGAAAGAGUCUUGCCUACAAAGUCAGCCCCUGGGUUUUCAUUCUGCUUAUGGAAUCCAGGCAAUGGGCAAAGAGAAAAAGAAAACUAAGGAAUCAGCCAGGUGCAGUGGCUCAUGCUUGUAAUCUUGGCACUUUGGGAAGCUGAGGCCGGUGGACUUCUUGAGUCCAGGAGUUCAAACCAGCCUGGCCAACAUAGUGAGACCCCGUUUCUACAAAAAACACAAAAAGUUGCUGAGCAUGGUGGCAUGCACCUGUAGUCCCAGUUACUUGGGAGGCUGAGGUGGGAGAACUACUUCAUCCAAGGAGGUUGAGGCUGCAGUGAGCCAUGAUCGUGCCACUAUACUCCAGCUGGGUGGCAGAGUGAGGCCCUGUCUCAAAAGAAAACAAAAAGGAUAAGAAAAAGAAAACUAGGGAAUCUAGACAAUAAGUUUAUAUAUAUAAUAAAGAACUGAGAUAGAACUGGGUCGACUGAGUAAUUAUUUGAAUUGCUUUUGACUGAAUUUUUCUUAUUGGAGUCUACCAUUGUUUUUGUGUGUGUGUGUGGUUUUUUUUUUUUUUUUUUUUUGGUUUAGUUUUGUCUUUGUGUUUUUUUGAGACUGGGCCUUGUUCUGUUGCCUAGGCUGCUGGAGUGCGGUGGCGCGAUCUCAGCUCUCUGCAACCUCUGCCUCCUGGGUUCCAGCAAUUCUUCUGCGUCAGCCUCCCCAGUAGCUGGGACUACUGGGCAUGUACCACCAAGCCCAGCUAAUUUUUGUGUUUUUAGUAGAGAUGGGGUUUCACCAUGUUGGCCAGGCCUGGUCUUGAACUGCUGGGCUCAAGUGAUCCACCUGCUUUGGCCUCCCAAAGUGCUGGGAUUACAGAUGUGAGUCCCUGCGCCCAGCUAGAGUCUACCUUUCUUUGAAUUCACUGCAGUGCAAAGACUGGGACAUGUGGAACUCCAGGUGUGUAUGGGUUACAUAGAGAUGCUAGGGGCUGAUUAAGGAAGGAAAGAUAUGAGAAGCCUGCAGAGCAUGCGUUCCCAGACUGUAUGGGCCCUGGGAAAGGAGAAGUGGACAGAAAGGGAACACUGGAUGCCCUGGAAGAGAAGAUUCAUCCAAGUCAUCAGGGAAGUUACUAAUGCAAGGGAAGAAAUGCAGAGACAGGGCCAAACACGCUUCUUCCAAGUCCUUUCUGUCCGCUCAGUCACCUCUAUGCUUAUUUUUCUUCUUUCCUGUAAGUAGUGUCAUGCGUUUUCUUCCCAUUCCUAGUCACUCCUAGUCAACUAACUCCCCUCUACCAUCUUUUCAUCGGAACUUGAAAUCUCUUCUCCUUCAUGUAUUAGUGAUCAUGUUUCUCCAUAAUACUGCUAGAACCAAGAAUUGAAACCUGGAAAACCUGCAUUUGAGUACCAGAUCUGCCUCUACUAGCUAUUUGAGAAGCUAUUUUGUUCCAUUCUUUUUGUUGUUGUUGAAACAGGGUGUCAUUCUGUCGCCCAGGCUGGAGUGCAGUGGUUCAAUCUUGGCUCACUGCAGCCUCAACCUCCUGGGCUCAAGCAGUCCUUCCACAUCAGCCUCCUGAGUAGCUGGGACUACAGGUGUGUGCCACCACAUCUGGCUAAUUUUUAAUGUUUAUUUUUUUUUUUGGUUUACUUAUUUGUUUUUGUAGAGAUGCGGUCUUGCUAUGUUGAGCAGGCUGGUCUCAAACUUGUGGGCUCAAGUGAACCUCCUGCCUUGGCCUCUCAGAUAAAAUGGGAAAAGUUCCCUUGUCCCCCUCGAAGGGCAUGUGAUGGGGGUGUGGUUCAUUUCAUCAGUGCCCCACUGCUCAAACCUCUAGGGGAGCAUACAGACAGGCAGGGAGCCCCGUGGCAGUGUCUAGGGGUGAAUGUUUAUAGUUGAAGCCCCAGUGGGCGUGUGUUACAGGGUGCUCUUUUAGUUUAGCCGUCCGUAAGUAGCUUGUGUUAGUCAGCUCAAUUAGACCCCCGCCCUAUUGCAAAGACAGAGGGCUCUCUUUGUCCCGGGGUUCUUGCCUUGGUGUACCGGAAGUGGUGUGAUCUCAGCUCACAGCAAGCUCCGCCUCCAGGGUUCACGCCAUUCUCCUGCUUAGCCUCCCGAGUGGCUGGGACUACAGGUGCCCGCCACCACACCCAGCUAAUUUGUUUGUAUUUUUAGUAGAGAUGGGGUUUCACCGUGUUAGCCAGGAUGGUCUCAAUCUCCUGACCUCGUGAUCUGCCCGCCUUGGCCUCCCAAAGUGCUGGGAUUACAGGCGUGAGAGUGCAAGGUUUUAUUGAGUGGAAGUAGCUCUCAGCAGAUGGGGAGCCAGAAGGAAGAUGGUUUUCCCCUGGAGUCAGGCGAGUGGCCCGACUCUUCUCUGACUGUCCCACCCAAACUCUGCUUGUUGUGCCAGUCAGUGGCCUGCGGUGUGCCUGUGUCCAUUGGUGCGUUCCUCUUGACCUGCAGCACCCAUGUGUUCCUCCACUGAUGUGCUCCUCUCGAAGUCCAGCUGCCUGUGUGUCUGCCUGCUAGGGUCUCAGGGUUUUUAUAGGCACAGAAUGGGGGUGUGGCAGCCAGGGUUGUCUUGGGAAAUGCAACAUUUGGGCAGGAAAACAAAAACCCCUGUCCUCACCUAGGUCCGUGAUCACAGGCCCUGGGGUGGAGCACUAGCCAGCGACCACACCCUCCUGUACCCUGUGCUUCCCUUCCUUACUUCCAUAUCAUUUAAAGGGACCACAUUCUUCCCUUCCGAGCACUUCCCUUCUGUAUCACAAAGUGCUGGGAUUAUAGGCAUGAGCCACUGGUCCCAGCCAAUUCCGUUCUUUUAAUGCAAACUAGAAAAUAGGUGUUCAGAAAGGCCUGCCCUAUCCACCUCAGGGAGUUGCUAUGAAGAUCAAAUUAGAUCAUGUGCAACAGAAGUUUAGAAAAGAUUCCAAAAGCACUGCACAAUAGGAAUGUAUUUUUAAACGCCACUGAGUGGACUUAAAACUAUGUUUUUUUACUUUCUUUUUUUUGGUUGAGACAGAGUUUCACUCUUGUUGCCUAGGCUGGAGUGCAAUGAUGCCAUCUUGGCUCACUGCAACCUCCGCCUCCCAGGUUCAAGUAAUUCUCUGCCUCAGCCUCCCGAGUAGCUGGGAUUACAGGCGCCCACCACCAUGCCUGGUUAAUUGCUUUCUUUCUUUUCUUUUUUGUCUUUUUAGUAGAGAUGGGGCUUCACAGUGUUGGCCAGGCUGGUCUCGAACUCCUGACUUUAGGUGAUCCACCCACCUUGGCCUCCCAGAGUGCUGGGAUUAAGGCUUGAGCCACCGCACCCAACCUGUGUUUCUUUUUUAAGCAAGAAAACAAAUGCCUCUCCCCAGCACUCACUAAACCAAUCCUUCUUUUUUUUUUUCCAUAGGAUUCUUAUCCUUCUUGCCCCAGUGCAGUCUAUUUUCUUUUGGCCCUUCUGUCCAUCUGUGAAAGGGUCAGUCUUUCUAGCUAACCCUUAAUCAAAUAUUUUUGAUGACCACAGUCAAGACAGUACUUAUUAUUUUUUUUGAGAUGGAGUUUCACUCUUGUUGCCCAGGCUGGAGUGCAAUGGCGCAAUCUCAGCUCACUGCAACCUCUGCCUCCAGGGUUCAAGUGAUUCUCUUGCCUCAGCCUUCCAAGUAGCUGGGAUUACAGGUGUGCAACACCACGCCCAGCUAAUUUUUCUAUUUUUAGUAGAGAUGGGGUCUCUCCAUGUUGGUCAGGCUGAUCUCGAGCUCCUGACCUCAGGUGAUCUACCUACCUCAGCCUCCCAAAGUGCUGGGAUUACAGGGGUGAGCCACCCUGCCUGGCCAAGACAGUGCUUAUUAAUGCCUGAAAUGCAUUCAGGAGUACAUGAGCUGGCUGUGGCUGUUCUAAGUUCCCCAAAUGGGUGGCUCAGGACAACAGAAAGUCAUUCUCUCCAGUUCUGGAAGCUUGAUGUCUGAAACGGGCAGGGCCGUGCUCCCUCUGAAGGCUCUAGGGAUGAAUGCUUCCUUGCCUCUUCUGGCUUCUGGUGGUUGCUGGCAAUCCUUGGCUUGUGGCCACAUCAUUCCAUUCUCUUCCUUCAUUCUCAUGUAGCCUUCUCUCCUGUGUGUCUCUGUCUCUUCUUCUCUUCCCAUGAGGAUGCCAUUAUUACUCCAUUUAAGGUCCAUGCUAUUCCAAUAUGACUUCUUUGUAAUUAGAUCUGCAGUGACCCUAAUUUCUUUUCUUUUUUUGAGAUGGAGUCUUGCUCUGUUGCCCAGGCUGGAGUUCAGUUGCACAAUCUCAGCUUGCUGCAACUCUGCCUCCUGGUUCAAGUGAUUCUUCAGCCUCAGCCUCCGAAGUAGCUAGGAUUACAGGUGCAUGCCACCAUGCCUAGCUAAUUUUUGUGUUUUUAGUAGAGACAGGGUUUUGCCAUGCUAACCAGGCUGGUCUCGAACUCCUGACCUCAAGUGAUCCUUCUGCCUCAGCCUCCCAAAGUGCUAAGAUUACAGGCAUGAGCCACCAUGCCCCGCCCCUAUUUUCUAAUAAGGUCACAUUUUGGGAUUCCUGGUGAAUGUGAAUUUUUGGAGGACAGUAUUCAGUCUAGCAAAAGGCAGGGCAUCCUCAUUUUCUUCCCUACUUCAGAAAUAUGGAAGUUAACUUCAACCCCUCGGAGAGAGAGAGAGGCUUCCUGAGCUUCCAACAAUCAAUUAUCCAAAUAUUAGUCACAGAAGAGCACUAAGGGUUGUGCACAGCACGUGGCCAGCCCGUUCUCAGAGUCUGUUAAGUUUAAGGUGAACGCUAAUCCUGAAUGAGUUUUAAAAUGUAUUUGGAAUUUCCUCAUCAUUGUAAAAUGUUCUCACAUCGUGAUGGCUGGGGCUUCCCUCUCAGGUGUAAUCUGCGAAGUCAGAUGUGACACAGCCUGGGUGAGGUGGGCCAAGCUGGGAACUGGGUUAGGAGGGAAGCUGGGGAAUGAGCGCCAAGGUCUCAGAUCCCAAACUGGCUUUAGCCUGAUUCACCCAGAGGGACCUGGUAAAAAAUACACAUUCCAGGGCCCACCCCAGACCUAAUGAAUCAGAAUUACCUGGGAAGGAGCCUGGGGAGCUCUGUUUUCGGAAGCAGCCCAGCAGAAUCCUACCGUCAGACGGGGCUAGGAAACGGAGCUCAGUCUAGGGCAGUAGUUCCCAAACUCGUCUGUGCUUCAAAAGAUACAGAUGCUGAUGGCCAGGCAAGGUGGCUCACGCCUGUGAUCCCAGCAAUUUGGGAGGCUGAGGCGGGAGGAUCACUAAAGCCCAGGAGUUUGAGACCAGCCUGGAGAACAUAGGGAGAUACUGUCUCUAUAAAAAAUUAAAAAAUUAGCCAGGCAUAGUGGUGCCCGCCUGUGAUCCCAGCUACCCUGGAGGUUGAAGUGGGAGGGUUGCUUGAGCCCAGGAGUUGGAGGCUGUAGUGAGCUAUGAUUGUGCCACUGCACUCCAGCCUGGGUAAGAGAGUGAGGCUCUGUCUCAAAAACCAAAGAAAACAAAAAACAAAAAACAGAUGCUAUGUCCCAUUCCAGAGGUUGAGGUUUAAUUAUUCUGGGGUGGGGUGUGGCCUGGGUUUUGGAACACUUAAAAAAUCCCAGGUGAUCCUAAAGUGUAGAUGAGUUUGGAAACCACACACUUAAGGCACACUUGAAUGGGGGAGCAGUGAGGUGGUGUGGGCUAGCCGGCCAGAACCCAGGGGUGGGGCGGUAGGAACCAGCAUUGCAGAGGCCAUGAAGGCUGGGAAGCAUAGUGUCUGGGGCCCAUAACAAUGCUUGGACAUGAAUGCUUUAGACCUAAGACAAUUGGCUCCUAAAUGUGAAAACUGCAAGGCUGAAAUGAAUGCAUGUUUAAUGCUUUGCAACAUUGUCAAGUGAUCAGCUGCAGCUCCGUUCUGAGGGCAUGAUGCCUGAGAGAUGCCUGUCAUGGGGGUUGAUUUUAAUGAAUUUAAUAUGGUGUGGAGUGGGGCCUUCAAAAGUAAAAACGUCAGUUCUAAGUUGGUUGCGGGGGUCUGGGCAAAGGCCUUAAAACCCCGUGUUAAACACCCCGAUUUUAAAACAGGGCCUUUUUCCCAAGAGACUUUUUGAAAAUAGCUCCUAUUUUGAGGGGAGGAACCCUGGCGGGAGAGAGCCAGAGUUAAGCCCAGCUGAGAGGGGGUUAGCAGGUAGGGGUCUGCCUGGUCCUCACUGAAACUUGCUACUCAGGGUGAGCUUCCUAAACCAAUGCAGAUUUGCUGGCCCACUGAGCCUCCCAGCUGAGAACCUGCAUUUCGACAAGGUCCUCAGUGCAGCAAAGUUUGAGAUAUACUGGGCUAGAACACCCAGGGGACCUAAAGGUUCCUUGAAAACUAAGGAAAAUAGGCAGGGUGUGGUGGCUCAUGCCUGUAAUCCUUGUAUUUUGGGAGGCCAAGGUGGGUGGAUCACUUGAGGUCAGGAGUUCGAGACCAGUCUGUACAAACAUGGUGAAACACCAUCUCUACAAAAGAUAUAAAAAUUAGCCAGGUGCAGUGGCAGGUACCUGUAGUCCCAGCUACAUGGGGAGCUGAGACAGGAGAAUCGAUUGAACCUGGGAGGCGGAAGUUGCAGUGGCCCGAGAUCGCACCACUGCACUCCAGUCUGGUGACAGAGUGAGACUCCAUCUAAAAAAAUAAAAAAUGAAAAAAUAAAUAUAAAUACUGGGCUAGAAGACCCAGGAGACCCGAAGAUUCUCUCAAAACUAAGGAAAAUAAUCUAGAUCACAAAUAUAUUCUCUUUCUCCUUCUCCCCAUUGCCCCCCUCCAUCAGUAAUCUUUAUAGACUCAAAUAGAGUUGAUGUUCUAUAAUCAAUUCUAGUCACUUUUAUUUGUAUUUAUUUAUUUUAGAAAUGGGGUCUCACUAUGUUGCUCAGGCUGGUCUCAAAUUCCUGAGCUCAAGUGAUCCACCUACCUCGGUCUCCCAAAGCGCUGGGAUUAAAGGCAUCAGCUACUGCACCUGGCUGUCACUUUUAUUUUUGAUGUUCAAAUUAUAAGCUAAUGUCUGUGAGACCAUAGAUUCUUUUUAUGCACUCAAUACAUUUUUGUGCUUACCUUACAUUUUUAUUAUGGAAAAGAUUCUGUUUCUUCCGCUUGUUUCUAUUUGAUAAUGAAGCCCCCUGUGCCUAUCACCAGCCUCAGCCGCCAUCAUCUCAUUACCAAGCUGGGUUAUUUGGAAGCAAAUAUCUUCAAUAUUUAGCCGGUGUUCAAAUUUCCCCAACCAUCCUAAAUGAGUGUUUAGAAUAGUUGUUUCAUUGGAAACAAGGUCAAAACAAGUACAUUUUACAUUUUUAGGCCAGUCUUGAAAGUAAGUGUAAAACCAUGUGUGAGGUAGGAGGUGGGACUAGCCUCUCAAGGCGGGGCCUGGAUACCAGACCCAAUUGAGGACUAGCUAAGACAGAUUCCACAAUGAAUAACACCAGGAGGUGGGAAUAUUAAGGUCCAUUGCAAAGGCUGGCUACCACAAUUAUUUGAUCAACUAGUUAUCAACCGUGACUGCAGCUGAGAGAGAUUUGUUUUCUUUUUUUUUUUUUUUUAGAGACAGGGUCUUGCUAUGUUGCCCAGGCUGGACUCAAACUCCUGAGCUCAAGUGAUUCUUCUGCCUCAGUCUCCCGAGUAGCUGAGACUACAGGUGUGUGCCACUUUGCCCGGCAAGUUAUUAAAAAAUAAGUAUGCCUGGACACCACUCUAAACCAACUAAAUCAGAAUCAGAUAUAGCGAAGUCAUUAAUCAUUUUGCUCCUGGGUUUUUAUGACAGUUUUGCUCCUGGGAAACUUCUGGGAAUGUGGUAGAGAGAGAGAAAGAGAUGGGAAAAUAAGAUUUUAAGAAGUGUUGCUAUGCAUUUUGAAAAUAAUUUUUCUUUGGUGUUUGUCUUGAGGGACGGCGGUAAACAUUUCAAUUGCCUUUAAGUAUGCUUGCAUGCUGGAAUGAUGGUUCUUUGAAUGCAGCAUCGAACUGGGAUUGGGCCACAUGGCAGCCAGCAUGAGCCUUUAUGCCACAUUUACAAAACAUGAAUGUCAUGAGCCCACUCUUAGGGACCUUACAAUUUGGAGGGUUAGGUCAGAUCCACAAAUCUCCUCUAUCUCAUGGUAAAGGAAACCUGGCGUGUAGCAGGAGAUGGUGUGAUAACAAUAUCAUAUUGCAUGAUCAAUAUUUAUAUUCUUCUUAGCAAUAUUAAACUUUUGGACCCCCUCCAUUGUGUCAUCAAUCUGCUUAAUACAGUUUCUGCUUCAGCGUCUGUUUUUAAGCCUGGCAUAAGCUAUUUGAAACCCAGGCACGUACCCUGCCCAUCAUCUUUGGCCUAGUUAACACCUCCCCUCCCUGCAUGGUGGUUUGGAGAACCUGCUUGUUCCUCAUCCCACUGAUCCCAAAACCAGGACACCCUACAGCUGCUGACCAUGAUUAAACCUAACAGAGAUUUAAUGCCUUUCUUCUGAUUCUCAGGGACUGACAUUCAUUCACUUAAAUACUUGCAGAGUCAGCCAGGCGUGGUGGCUCAUACCUGUAAUCCCAGCACUUUGGGAGGCCGAGGUGGGUGGAUCACGAGGUCAAGAGUUCGAGACCAGCCUGGCCAACAUGGUGAAACCCCCAUCUCUACUAAAAAUACAAAAAUUAACUGGCGUAGCAGUGUGUGCCUGUAAUCCCAGCUACUCAGGAGGGUGAGGCAGGGGAUUUGCUUGAACCUAGGAGGUGGAGGUUGCAGUGAGCCAAGAUUAUGCCAUUGCACUCCAGCCUGGGCAGCAGAGCAAGACUCUCUCUCAAAAAACAAAAAACCCAAAAACUUGCAGAGUGAAUUUAGGAAACCAUGAAGUCCAGAGUUUGAUCCAAUCCCUUCCUUUUUCUCUUUCUCAAAUAUUUUGAGCCAGGUACUAUUCUAGAUUGUCUUGUGAUAUUUACAAUCUAGGAGAAGGCAGGAGAGAGAACUAAGAACAGAGAGCUUGUUCUGAGAUGUCUGCUGUGUUUGCAGAUAUCCAGUAACUGACUGAUCAGCUGGUGGUGGGCUCUGCUGGCUGCCAUGAUGGACCACGAGCAAAAAGGGAAAAUUGGUUGUCAGUGAGAGAAGCAGAGAUAAGAAAGUCCACAGGGCUGAUAAGAAAGACCAUGGGCUGCUGGGCGCGGUGGCUGACACCUGUAAUCCCAGCACUUUGGGAGGCCAAGACGGGCGGAUCACGAGGUCAGGAGAUCGAGACCAUCCUGGCUCACACGAUACGGAUGGUGACUGAUGCUCUAUUAAAUGCUGAAAAAAUGCAGAGUGGAAGCACAGAAAAGCGGGUUUCUCUGAGGAGGUGACGUUGGAGCCCAGUUGGAAGGCAGGAGUAAAUGUGCACCAUGAUUUUUUAGAAUUAAAACCAAGUAUCUCACUGCUUGGGCACACGUAGAUAGAGGUGAUUUAACCGUAAACUGUCCCUGUUGUACCCAUUGUCAGUUACCUCACCACAGGGAUUAUGUAGCCCUGAGUUUGCUUUGUGCUUAUUUAUUUUAGGUUGUUGUUUAUCCAAACCUCUUAAAUGAUAUGCGUUUGGAACAAGUGACAGCAUCGUUCAUUGAUGUUGUGGACAAACAACUAUUUUAUUACUCAAGACUGGGUAAUUUAUAAAGAAAAAGAGGUUUAAUGGACUCACAGUUCCAUGUGGCUGAAGAAGCCUCAAAAUCAUGGUGGAAGGCAAAAGGCACAUCUUACAUGGUGGCAGACAAGAGUGAUGGGAGCUAUUUUGGUCAUUGUUCACUGGCCAUAGAAUAUACUUCUAUAUUUUGAACUAAGACAAGAGCCAGGCACACAAGACGGUUACAGGUCUGUCUUUUGUUUUUGAUGAUGAUGAUGAUGAUGAUGAUGAUGAAGAUGAUGAAAUGGCUGACAUGGUUCAUGACUUGCUUUUUCUCAUCAUCUCAGACCUAGAUUUUUGGCUGGACUAUUGGCUUGGGAUAGAUGAAAAUCAUUCCUUGUAUCCCCUGAUCUUAAAGUCAAGACUGAACCAGUCUCCAGACGCAAGCUUUCAUGGGGCUUCAGAUACCAUGAGGAACGGGCAUCCCUGCAAUAUUGUCAUGGCUGUCAAAAGUGUUAUUGGAGCUGGGCAAGUGGGCGCUCUCCUGCCAUUCCAUCCUGCUUAGAUUUCCCAUUCAACAUCAAUCUUAUUUCCUUUUUUUUUUUUUUUUUGACAGAGUCUCACUCUGUCUCCUAGGCUGGAGUGCAGUGGAGGGAUUUCAGCUCACUACAUUUCGGCUCACACUCCCAGGUUUAAGUGAUUCUUGUGCCUCAGCCUCCCAAGUAGCUGGGAUUGUGGGUGCACAACAUCAAGCCUGGCUCAUUUUUUUUUUUGUUGUAUUUUUAGUAGAGACAGGGUUUCGCCAUGUUGGCCAGGCUGGCCUUGAACUCCUGACCUCAAGUGAUCCACCUACCUUGGCCUCCCAAAGUGCUAGGAUUACAGGUGUGAGUCACCGUACCUGGCCCCAUUUCCUCUUAUACCAUAAGUCAUUGCCUGCAAAUGUGUUUUCUCCAUUAGUUUGCAAAAGCUUCCUGAGAGUAGGUCUGUGCCUCAUUUAUUCUGGAAUCUUCCUGGCACAAAGCACAGGGCUUUAUCCUCAGUAGGCAUUCAACAAAUGUUUAAUUUCAUUCAACAGCUCCUCUUACCACUGCCCCCACCUUAUUUGCAGGUGGCUAAGUACAAUCAGAACAAGUAGGAAUCAUAAGAUUUAGUCCAGAGUCAAUUUGGGAAGAAAUUACUUCAGUGAUAUGAGAAGAAACCAAGCUAUUUAGUCAGAAUACUUCUGAGAGUAUCCCUUGUCCAAGCAUUUGCUGAAUUUCGAUCUACUAAUUUUCAGGUGGAAGAGUAUGGUUGCAGACAGUCCAUUUGGACAUAGAUACACUUUCAUGCAUUCAUGUCUUUAACAAUAAUUUGUGGCCCUACUGUGUUUGUUCGCUAACUCCUUCGAACCUACCAUAUAAGCUAUAUCUUUAUUUUCCUUGUAAUUUGGGAGGUCCAAUGCUUCAUUAAGCUCACAUGCCUGAAACUAAUGAAUAAAAUAGCUCGCUAACCAGCUAGUAUAAAAGUAGCCACCAAAACAAGUCAAUCACCUGCCUUAAAUCAGCCCAGUACUCCCAUCUUGAGCAGAGAAGCCCAUUCUGAAUCACAGUCAAGACACUGAUGGAAAAACAGCUCUCUCUGGGUAUCAAAACCAUGCUCACCACAAAUCCUCCUCCCCAGAGUUCUACUCAUUGCUCACCCACUGAACCCAGAACAAACCAGAAGUGCUUGAAAUGAGGACGGGUAGCUCCGUGUACCAAUCGGAAUUUAAAACUGUAUCAA